rnacentral:ribozyme from 14 species
CGAGACGCUUCAAAGGGCCGACGACGAUGAUGAAGACGAUGGAUGGGGAGACAUUGAAGACACGCACAACGACGGGGCGUCGUCUGUAUCCGGGAUAGGCGAUGGAACGGGCCAACCUUUGCCACGCAAUGGAGCAAGCCAGU